rnacentral:lncRNA from 1 species
GGUUUUUCUCUUCCAAGGGAGGCGGGGGUGUGGUUGCAAAAUAAAUCUUAGGGUUUUUUCUUCUCCCCAAAGAAAUCAUUGUGUUGUAACGCAGAGAGAGCCCAAGCUGAUGACAUUUUUAUGGGGCUGCCUCUAGUGAGAACUGUAAUGUCUGCUAGGGCCAUCCAGAGGGUCGGGUAGAUCUCUCUCUCUCUCUCCAUUGCCAUCCCCCACGCCUUUCUCUCACAGCAAUACAACUUCAGCUCAAUACUUGUCUAGAAUUCUCAGUGGGGCUACCUAGGCUAAAAGGGGGUGGGGGUGGGGGAGGUGACAUCAUAUCCUCAAGAGCUGAUUGGUUGCUGUCAGGCUUCAGGAAUGAUAUCAUCUCUGCUUCUGCCUCCCCACCCCCCUUUACUUCCAGUCCUUUCCUGGUUGGGCAAGCCCCCCUCCGUGGCACCCCACCCCAGGAUACCCCGUUGCCUUGGAGACCACAAGUUUUCAACCUCGUUGUCUGAAGGAAUGGAUGGUGCAGUCUCUGUGGGAAGUUGGUCCACCUCUGUUCCUGUCUUCUGGACUCACUAUGUGGAUUCAGAGUCAAGAGAAAGUCCCACAGAAGAUCAAACUACAUCAGGGGGAUCAAACCCAAGAGCCAGAAGAGGACUUCGGGAGAAGCCCUGGAUCACUGGUUUUUCUUUCCACAAUACAUGA